GCUAGGUGUGGCGGCUUGCACCUGUAGUCCCAGCUACUCAGGAGGCUGAGGCAGGAGGAUCAUUUGAGCCCAGGAGUUCAAGUCUGUAGUGAGCUAUGAGUGUGCCACUGCACUCCAGCUUGGGCAACAUAGUGAGACCCUGUCUCAA
ensembl:misc_RNA Metazoa_SRP Metazoan signal recognition particle RNA